rnacentral:rRNA from 1 species
UGGGGAAUAUUGGACAAUGGGGGGAACCCUGAUCCAGCCAUGCCGCGUGUGUGAAGAAGGCCUUAUGGUUGUAAAGCACUUUAAGCGAGGAAGAGGGUACUGGUAUUAAUACUACCAGCUACUGGACGUUACUCGCAGAAUAAGCACCGGCUAACUCUGUGCCAGCAGCCGCGGUAAUACAGAGGGUGCGAGCGUUAAUCGGAUUUACUGGGCGUAAAGCGUGCGUAGGCGGCUAAUUGAGUCGGAUGUGAAAUCCCCGAGCUUAACUUGGGAAUUGCAUUCGAUACUGGUUAGCUAGAGUGUGGGAGAGGAUGGUAGAAUUCCAGGUGUAGCGGUGAAAUGCGUAGAGGUCUGGAUGAAUACCGAUGGCGAGGUCAGCCAUCUGGCCUAACACUGACGCUGAGGUACGAAAGCAUGGGGAGCAAACGGG